UCUCGAUUGGUCUAGUGGCUAGGAUACCUGCUUGUCAUUGAAUCCCACUCGGCGCCAUCACGAUAGUGAUGGGCACGGGGUGUUCUUGGAACAAGCCGCAGGUGGCCGGGGUUCGAUUCCCCGAUCGAGAG